CCUACGGGGGGCAGCAGUGGGGAAUAUUGCACAAUGGGGGAAACCCUGAUGCAGCGACGCCGCGUGAGUGAAGAAGUAUUUCGGUAUGUAAAGCUCUAUCAGCAGGGAAGAAAAAAGACGGUACCUGACUAAGAAGCCCCGGCUAACUACGUGCCAGCAGCCGCGGUCAUACGUAGGGGGCAAGCGUUAUCCGGAUUUACUGGGUGUACAGGGAGCGUAGACGGUAUGGCAAGUCUGAAGUGAAAGCCCAGGGCUUAACCCUGGGACUGCUUUGGAAACUGUUAGACUAGAGUGCUGGAGAGGUGAGUGGAAUUCCUAGUGUAGCGGUGAAAUGCGUAGAUAUUAGGAGGAACACCAGUGGCGAAGGCGGCUUACUGGACAGUAACUGACGUUGAGGCUCGAAAGCGUGGGGAGCAAACAGGAUUAGAUACCCGAGUAGUC
rnacentral:rRNA from 1 species